rnacentral:misc_RNA from 1 species
AAGUCGUAACAAGGUCUCCGUAGGUGAACCUGCGGAGGGAUCAUUAACACGUAUCCACACGUUAUUAAACCAAACCCGUGCUCCUCUUUUUGCCCAUCACUGAACGGUGUAUAUGCAAGCCAUAAGAUAGAAUUCGAAUGCGCAGCCCCUUUGGGGGUUGUGUGUUUGUCUACUUGCAGUACUAUUUGUCUCUUCGAGGACUAAACCGAUUUGGUAUGGUGUAUCAAAAGCUAUCUUGGUUAUCAGUGCCACCCCGGUAUCGACCCGGAGCCUGGUAACCUUACUACUCCUUUCUUUUUU